GCGAUUGUGUCGGGCGACCCGAUAGCGGCGAG
rnacentral:scRNA from 1 species